GACAUUGACAUUUCGAAAUAAUAUUGUCAAAGACAUGAAGUGGCAAGAAAAUUAAAAUUUUUAGCCAUUUUAUUAAUAUCCAAUUUAAAUUUGUGUUAUAUCUAAACGAAAACAUGUAUUGUAUUUCUCCACAACUAAUGAAAAUCCCCAGGGGUAUAACAGCAGUUCGAAAAAUACCAAAAUUGACCUAUCCUGUCAACGUAGUGACUCCAACAGCUAAUAAAUCUUUAAUUUUGUCUCGAGAAUAUAGUCAUGAUAAAAAGAAAUACAACACUGAUAACCUCCGAAAGUAUUCAUACAAAUACAUGUGUUAUUCAGUUCUAUUUGCUACUACUGCGUACGCAUCUUACAAAAUCUGGUUAAGAUAUCAAGUAUUUCCAUCAAUUACAGCGGCUGAAGAAAUAGCCGACUCAGAUUCUGAUAGUGAAAUCGACACCAAAAAGAAAAGAUAUAGGAAAGAAAAAAUUGGAUUCAGAGAUAGAAAGAUAAUUGAAUAUGAAAAUCGUAUGAGGUCAUAUUCAACCCCAGACAAAAUAUUUAGGUACUUUGCCACUGUGAAACUCACUUAUGGCGAUAGUACGGAGGUUUACAUGACUCCUGAUGACUUUUUACGAGCUAUAACACCUGGCAUGAAACAGCCUGAUGGUCUUGGCCUCGAUCAGUACAGAAGAUAUGACCCAAAGAGUAUCAGCCAACGCCUGAAUCUUGAUCUUGACGAAGAUUCAAUAUUUUUCAAACUUGGUUCAUCAGGACUCAUCACGUUUAGUGACUACAUAUUCUUGCUCACCGUUUUAUCAACGUCUCGUCGCCACUUUGAGAUAGCGUUCCGCAUGUUCGACUUGAACGGCGAUGGCGACGUUGACUGCGAAGAGUUCGAGAAAGUAGCCGCGCUCAUCCGCCAGCAGAGCUCCAUCGGAUCCCGGCACCGGGACCACGCCAACACUGGCAACACUUUUAAGGGCAUCAACUCUGCGCUCACGACAUACUUCUUCGGGCCGAAACUCAACCAAAAGUUGACCAUCGAGAAGUUUUUGGACUUCCAACAACAGCUUCAAAAAGAAAUACUGUCCCUUGAAUUUCAGAGGAAGCAGCCAGAUGAAAACGGUCGUAUCACUGAAGCUGAUUUCGCCGAGUUAUUGCUUGCAUACGCAGGCUACCCGGCCAAGAAGAAGGCGAGAAUGCUAAAACGUGUCAAGAAAGCGUUCCGCGACCACGGCGUCGGAAUAACAAAGGACGACUACCUCAAGUUCUUCCACUUGCUCAACAACAUAAACGACGUGGACACGGCGCUGACGUUCUACCACAUCGCGGGCGCGUCCAUCGACCAGCCCACGCUGCGGCACGUGGCGCGCACGGUCGCGCACGUCGACCUCGACCCGCACGUCAUCAACGUGGUGUUCACGAUCUUCGACGAGAACAUGGACGGGCAGCUAAGCAACCGGGAAUUCGUGGCCGUGAUGAAGAACCGCCUCCUCCGAGGUCUCGAGAAGCCCAAAGACACCGGCUUCGUCAAACUGAUGCACUCUCUCAUCAAAUGCGCGCGAGACACCAAGCCUGCCAUACUAGACUUUUAAGGACACCCUCGAAUGCACGGCUCCGAUAACGCAAGUAUUGCAUAACUUUUACAGUUUUUAUUCAGAUUAUGUAGGGAACGUUGUGUAGGGAACGUUGGGUACUCGCUUUGGGCUACAUUCUGAUAAAUUGCCACUUUUGUUAUAAACUAGAGACCCGUCCGGCUUCGCACGGGUUCUAUGUAUUAUGCAUUAAAGCUUUCUCAUUAAUCACUCUAUCUAUUGCUGAAAACUGCAUUAAAAAACAGCGGGAGCAACUUGUUUUAUCCUAUGUAAAGAAGCAGCACUAUUUUUAAUGAUUAAAGCACUUUGAUUAGGCUUCAAAAGCCAAGAUAAAUAAUAGCAAUUCGUUCGAAUCCAUUUAAAAAUAUUUAUUUUCAAAUUGUGAGGUUUUCUAAGUAAACAAAGAUGAAUGCUCGUUUUUGCUAAUAACCAUAAUAAUAACCACAGAAACAAGGAUAAAAAAUAUUUGUUGUUGUCUUUCUCAUAUUCGCUGUCCCAAUAUCAAUUAUUAAAAUAUGUGUGUAAACACCAUGGUUAUAUAAAAAAUUUCGCUUUUAUGAAGCAAGUAUCUUUCGUCAUGCCUGUUCCACGAUUUAUAAUACACAAUAUUUAAAAAAAAACGUAUAAGAUGGCUUCAAAAACAAAAAAAUACUGGGUCGUGGUAUUCGAGUGUAUUUUCAAUAAUAUAUUAAGCUCUCUUUACUGGUCAUUAGGUUUUACUCUUUUCUCAUAAUAAAAACAAAAAAAGUGUAUCGAUGCUUACUAUUUGUAAGACAUUCAUUUACCGGUUUUUAUUCUCUCGAAGGAUCUGGUUAUAUAAAAAAUCUCUACAUCACAUAAUAAUCUAGCACCGUUCGAUCGUCUUUAAUAUUUGUGAUAUUGUAUAUAAAUAACAUAGUUGUGUAUAAGAAGAGGUGUUUAAAGAUAUCGUUACCUGCAGUUAAUUGCUUUUCGUAGAAAACAGGGUGUCAAAAAAUCCAGAGAUAGAGCAUUGUGAUUUAUUUCAAUCGUUUUUGUGUGUCUACAAUGUUUUAUAAGCAUUUCAUUCGAAAAACAAAAAAUACAAAAAAAAGUAAUAAAAAUCUAGAGUUGCUCAUAAAUUCCUCUUGAUAUUGUUUUUAGGACUUACUAAUCAA